GUUGUCAAACGGCUUUCGGUAAUAUGCUCUUGUUCCGCAUAAUCAAUCUUCAUUCGGAGGAAGCAAAGACAUUGCAUCACCAAAUCAUUAUGCAACUCUGAAUUUAAAAUGCAAUGGGAAAAAAUCAAAGACCAACAUAUGCUAUAUAAAAAUAAUAUUCCAUCAAUAGUUUAUUCAAACAAGCUGAGUAUAAUUGAAGACUAGGCCAGAAUUCAAUUCUUACUGUGACUUGAAUAGCAGCAUAGGCAGUGGGUUCUUAUAAAAAAGACAAGAUAUCAACUACAAAGCUUCAUCAGCAAAAGUAACUUCCAUCUUUGACAAAUAACAGAACUUUGAUGAGCGAAUUUCAACCUGAAGCAAAUUGGCCACAGAGAAUUUUCAAAUUCAAAAAUAGUGUUAUGCAUAACAUGAAUUGGCAUCAUUUCAAAGCAAUUACAGACCAAAAUCCUUUCAAAUUUUAGCUUCAAUGGAAACAGGAGGAUAGGAAAAAAAAAAAAAAACAAUUAUCAGCAAUAAAACUGAGUAAAAACACAUCAAGUCGACAUGAGCAUAGCUGAAGAUACAGUGGAAGCAGAACUAUUUUGCCCUUUUAACAAACUAGCAUGAAAAUAAUCCAUCCAGGCUAAAAGUUGUUGAGUAUGAGAAGAAUAACGAGAGGAACAACAUCCAGGGAAUAUCAAUUCGGACAUACAUAUCUAAUGAGAGACUACCGCCUAAUGCUUUUCCCCUCAAUUCAGAAUUUUUACAAACGAUUUUUUCAGGCAUGGAACGGCAAAUACUAUUCAACAGUUAACACACUAUUGACAGGUUAUCACUUCUUACACAAGCAAGAAGGGGCCUUGCUAAAUAAUUUCAGCUUCCAGUAUGCAAGUUACAGCUUGGAAUUAAGUUCCAAUUAACCAUAUCCUCACUGGAAAUCAUGAUAUCAAACUCAUAGGAUUGAAAAUACAAACUAAGCAGUUUCAGAAAUGAGGAUAAUUUUUAGCACAAUAGUCAGUUCAUCCAAAAAAGCAACAUGACUACAAGUGUGGGCGAAUCAAGUUUGCAGGACAAGUGUUUAAGAAAACAAAGAGAAGAAAAAAGCUUCGUAUAAUGCUUUAAAGAAAAUUUGGAGAAUAACAUCAGCUGCUACAAAGUUUUGCAGAUGUCUCUAAAGUGUGAAUCCACUGCUAUGAAGUCACAGCUAGCAUGGGACAAAGAAUCAACACUUGCCAUUCUAUUUGUGCACAAAAAGAAAUCAGGUAAGUAAAUCUAUCAUAUGAAGAUUGUUAAUACAUUUAUUCCCAGACCAAAAUAUUUCAUUUUGCCAUACAUUUACGCAUCACAAAAGAAUUGCAGCUUAUCUUGAAAGAACAUAACUAUUCAGUCAUUCAAUGAAAAAUCUUCUGUGCCCGAUAUCCUAUACUAGGAGACACAUGAAAAAAAUGAUAUCAAUUUGAUUCAACAAUUGUAGUUUGAAUCAACUUAUAAAGCUCCAGCUCAACUCAAAUAAACAACAUUGAUCUAUGAUCAACUUGUGGCGUAGGCCCCGAAAUGCUAACAAUCUGGUUUCAAAUCAUAUUUUGAAUCAAAUUUCAUGGCUCCGAUCUCAAAUAAAAUUAAAGAUUGAUCUGCGACGAAAUCCUAAAAAUUGUGCCUAUUAUUAUUGGGCAAAAGGCUAUUAUAACCUGUUAUUGUUAGACAAAAAAUAUUUGCUUCCUGAAAUAGGAAAGAAAGCUCUAUACGAGCAAAUCAAAUGAAUUCGCUCUCUAAAAGUUUCAAAUAAAAAUGAUGAAUGAAAUAAAAGUUGGGAAAGCUUCUUGAGCUACUAAAAUUCAUCGAUCAAUGCUCAAAUUUUGGAACAAAGAUUGAUCAAUGAAUCAAAAUACAAAAUCAAAUUAGUUAUCCUCGUUAGAGGAUAGACUUUGAUAAUCUGAGUCUGCUUUAUAUUACAUUCUAAUGUUCUAUAUCUUAUCAGGCUCAGCUAAACUAUUGCAUCAAAGAUCCAAUAACGGUAGCAUGGUCGCUCAUCAUACCUUAGUCCAAAAGCCAGGAAAAAGAAUAACGGAGAACAAGGCAUUG
rnacentral:lncRNA from 1 species